rnacentral:rRNA from 1 species
AUUGAACGCUGGCGGCAGGCCUAACACAUGCAAGUCGAGCGGAUGAAGGGAGCUUGCUCCUGGAUUCAGCGGCGGACGGGUGAGUAAUGCCUAGGAAUCUGCCUGGUAGUGGGGGAUAACGUCCGGAAACGGGCGCUAAUACCGCAUACGUCCUGAGGGAGAAAGUGGGGGAUCUUCGGACCUCACGCUAUCAGAUGAGCCUAGGUCGGAUUAGCUAGUUGGUGGGGUAAAGGCCUACCAAGGCGACGAUCCGUAACUGGUCUGAGAGGAUGAUCAGUCACACUGUAACUGCGACACGGUCCAGACUCCUACGGGAGGCAGCAGUGGGGAAUAUUGGACAAUGGGCGAAAGCCUGAUCCAGCCAUGCCGCGUGUGUGAAGAAGGUCUUCGGAUUGUAAAGCACUUUAAGUUGGGAGGAAGGGCAGUAAGUUAAUACCUUGCUGUUUUGACGUUACCAACAGAAUAAGCACCGGCUAACUUCGUG